rnacentral:rRNA from 1 species
GACGAACGCUGGCGGCGUGCUUAACACAUGCAAGUCGAACGGAAAGGCCCCUUUGGGGGUACUCGAGUGGCGAACGGGUGAGUAACACGUGAGUAACCUGCCCUUGACUUCGGGAUAACUUCAGGAAACUGGGGCUAAUACCGGAUAGGAAUCCUUGCUGCAUGGUGGGGGUUGGAAAGCUUCGGCGGUUUUGGAUGGACUCGCGGCUUAUCAGCUUGUUGGUGGGGUAGUGGCUUACCAAGGCUUUGACGGGUAGCCGGCCUGAGAGGGCGACCGGCCACAUUGGGACUGAGAUACGGCCCAGACUCCGACGGGAGGCAGCAGUGGGGAAUAUUGCACAAGGGGCGGAAGCCUGAUGCAGCAACGCCGCGUGCGGGAUGACGGCCUUCGGGUUGUAAACCGCUUUCAGCAGGGGCGAAGCUUGUGGUGACGGUACCUGCAGAAGAAGCACCGGCUAACUACGUG